AGAGUUUGAUCAUGGCUCAGGUUGAACGCUGGCGGCAGGCCUAACACAUGCAAGUCGAACGGUAACAGGAAACAGCUUGCUGUUUCGCUGACGAGUGGCGGACGGGUGAGUAAUGUCUGGGAAACUGCCUGAUGGAGGGGGAUAACUACUGGAAACGGUAGCUAAUACCGCAUAACGUCGCAAGACCAAAGAGGGGGACCCUCGGGCCUCUUGCCAUCGGAUGUGCCCAGAUGGGAUUAGCUUGUUGGUGGGGUAACGGCUCACCUAGGCGACGAUCCCUAGCUGGUCUGAGAGGAUGACCAGCCACACUGGAACUGAGACACGGUCCAGACUCCUACGGGAGGCAGCAGUGGGGAAUAUUGCACAAUGGGCGCAAGCCUGAUGCAGCCAUGCCGCGUGUAUGAAGAAGGCCUUCGGGUUGUAAAGUACUUUCAGCGGGGAGGAAGGGAGUAAAGUUAAUACCUUUGCUCAUUGACGUUACCCGCAGAAGAAGCACCGGCUAACU
rnacentral:rRNA from 1 species